rfam:Triticum aestivum genome assembly, contig: Triticum_aestivum_CS42_TGACv1_scaffold_289281_4AL
AAAAUACUCCGUCCAUCCCAAAAAAAUUGUCCCCCAAAUAGAUGUAUCUAGCAUCAAGUUAGUGCUAGAUACAUCCAUAUGAGAAACAACCUUGGGACACGUUUUUUCAGACGGAGGGAGUAGUUC